rnacentral:rRNA from 1 species
GUGGGGAAUAUUGGACAAUGGGCGAAAGCCUGAUCCAGCCAUGCCGCGUGUGUGAAGAAGGUCUUCGGAUUGUAAAGCACUUUAAGUUGGGAGGAAGGGUAGUAACCUAAUACGUUGCUACUUUGACGUUACCGACAGAAUAAGCACCGGCUAACUUCGUGCCAGCAGCCGCGGUAAUACGAAGGGUGCAGGCGUUAAUCGGAAUUACUGGGCGUAAAGUGCGCGUAGGUGGUUCAGCAAGUUGAAGGUGAAAUCCCCGGGCUCAACCUGGGAACUGCCUCCAAAACUACUGAGCUAGAGUACGGUAGAGGGUAGUGGAAUUUCCUGUGUAGCGGUGAAAUGCGUAGAUAUAGGAAGGAACACCAGUGGCGAAGGCGACUACCUGGACUGAUACUGACACUGAGGUGCGAAAGCGUGGGGAGCAAACAGGAUUAGAAACCCGUGUAGUCC